AGUAUGUUGCAGGUACUCUGGGGAGACGCUGGGAGCUACUGUCCAGCGGGGGGUGCGCGUGAAUCAGUUGACGGUGGUGCGGCCACGACAGUGGCCCAGGGUUUCUCCGAGGGUGCCACAUGGGGACUUGACAUCAACCGGGGGUUCGGAAGGCUUCCCUGAGGGAGAGAUGCCCCAGCUGAGAUGCCCCCCAGGCCUGCGAGGGGCCAGGCUGCAAGAAAUCAGAGAGGUCGAGGACCAGAUGCUGGUGAGGCUGAGGAGAAAGGGGCCUUGCACCCGGCCCAUGCCCUGGAAGGACAAACAGACAGAGCUGACCAGGGCUCCCACAGCAGCUGGGUGUGUACGCGAAGAUCCUGUCUAUUCAGCAAAACCUCCAGGAGAGGCGCCGUCAGCUGGCUCCUUAGGGAUUCCUCCAGCCCCA